GACACUUUUCGGCCAGGGGGACAUUAUUUUGCAUGACAGGCCCUCCAACCAAAUCUCGCUUAGGGUCCCCAAAAGGUUAAAACCGGCCCUGUGGCAAACCAUAUACCAGAUUUUGUACAUGCAUUUUAAUUGCUGAAAUUGUUGAGUGCAAAUCCAACCCUUGUAAUUUAGGUACUGUAUGAAAAUAAGGAGAUGUCAAUUAGGCAACAGGAGAUGAGCACUGAAGGACCUAAGCCUUAGGAUCAUGUCUCAGGACUACCUGGCCUGACGACUCCUGGCUGUCCCUGUCCCCAGUCCACCUGGUUGAGGUGCUGAUCCAGUUUCUGCUGUUCUGCCUGCGGCUAUGGAACCCUGACCUGUUCACCGGUCGUGCUGCCUUGUCCCGCACCUGUGGCCUCGGGCCUCUGAAUGAAAAGACAACUGAUAUUUACUGCUGAGGUGGUACAGCAUCUGUUUACACCAACAUGCGCUUCCAACCCCUAGCUCUGCACAAGAUGAAGGUUAUCUGGAGUCAUUCCACAGUGCCUUGCUGAAAAAUACCCCAAAGUGGAGGCAUGUUGGGUACACAAGCACGAGGGAGCGGACACACCUUGAGGUUAUGGAGUACAAGAUUGUGGGACAGAAACCAGCAAGGGACACUGAAAAGGAGACAUUCCAGGAGUAAAUCUUCUGCAAGGGGACCAUUCGGUUGGUGGUUAAGAAGCCCUAGACCACUUUCAGCAGAGUCUUAUCCAGCUGUCCGUUCACUGCAGAUAGGACAAGACCAUUCGCCAUCAGCACAAAGUGUCUCAGCUUCCCCAGCCCACCAUGCCGAACACCACUGCCAGUGUACUGAAUCGGAUAAAGGACUAUGGCUGCGUUUAUACAGGCGGCCCAAUUCUGAUGUUUUUUUCACUAAUUGGUGUUUUGACCAAUCAGAUCAGUAUUGAAAAAUAUCUGACGUGGUUAAAACCAAUUCGUGAGAAAAUAUAACAGAAUUGGACUGCCUGUGUAAACACAGCUAGCAUGGCUCAGCAUAAGACCGUGUAGAACAGGGGUCUCCAAACCUCUUCUUCUUCUUCUUCUUCUAUGUUAUAAUGGCGUUCACAACUAUUAGAAGCGCAUUCCGCCACCUACUGUGUGGGUGGAUAAUAAGGAUCCCAAAAAGGAAAUCAUUUGGGUAAAAAUAAAUUAAACAUCAUACAAACUACCAAAAAAGAAAUUAACUAAACAAAAUCAACCUGCAUUUCUGUAAAAAAAAAACUCAUUCUAAUCAGGUCCUAACACAGCGACAAUAGUCCUUGUAGUGCUAGCGACAAUAGUCCUUGUAGUGCUUCUGCCAUGAAUUCUUGGAGACGCAAAAACAUCUCGGCUGCAGAUACACUGAUGUCCAGCUUCCUGGACUUCUUAGACACUUGUGCUGUACAAUUAAUCACUGUGGCUACAAAUGACAUGAAAUCCACUUUCUUCACAUUGAGUGUAUCCAGAUCACUCGAUUGACUUAAAACACUACCAACUGGUUUCAAUGCAUCCAACUCCAUAUCUUCAACACUGUUGCCUCUUCCUCCUUCAACUCUCUUCACCGCCUCCACAUAGGAGACCCGCUGCACAGCCCUGAUCCUUGACACCUCGAUCUCCUUCACCCGAACAGGGCACUCAAUGAAGUCCGGAGUAUGAUCCCCAUCACAGAUGUAACAUUUUUCAUUCACAGAUUCAUCUAUAUCAUACUUCUCCCAUCUGCAAACAUUUUGACACGUGACCAAAUCCUUUACAAUUUCCACACUGUAAUGGUUUGGACACAAAUGCAGUGUAUCGACAGGCUUUUCUCCUUCCUUCCAUUUACCAUACGGGUCAGGUGACGGGCACUGACCACUCCUGGGAUUUUCUGACUAAGGUACUCAUUAUCUAUAUCCAAUGAGACUCCAGCUAGAACUCCUUUGGCAGGCGCCUUGCUCCGAAGAUCAAUAAAUGUUACUUCUGACGUGGACAAUUUAGCCAGAUCCAGUAGACGCUUCUUCUGUUCUUCAUCGACACAAUUAACCAAAACAAGGCUGCUUCUAGUCACCUUGAUUUGAAUCCACCUUUUCCCACUGCUUUCUUCACAGUCCUCAAUAUUACAAAUGGAUUUCCCAAAGGAAUCUUCUUGUCCAAAAAACGCAGUCCAAUAAGAAAUGCAUUAUGCAUCCUUGUUUUCUACUACAGCUUUUGCUAAUUUUCUUCCAUUCUUUGAUUUCACUAUUUUCCAUUCCUUAUAACACACUUCACCUGCCUCACUUUCAGAUUCAAGCAGUCGCCAUUACCUCCUCCCUCCUAGGAAUCUGUCGAUUUGGACUACCUUACCUGAAAUAUCCAACCCUGUUCCUGAAGAGCUACCCUCCGGUAGGUUUUCACUCCAACCCCAAUUGUAACUAACCUCAUUCAGCUUAUCAACCAGCUAAUUGUUAGAAUCAGGUGUGCUAGAUUCAGGUUGGAGUGAAAACUUACAGGAUGGUAGCUCUCCAGGAACAGGGUUGGAGAGCCCUGAUGUAGAACCACCAUAAAAUAAAUAUGGAUAUUUUCUAUCAAUCUUUGAAAUGUGUCUGCCUUUAUGGAUUCACAGAAAUACUGCAAAAUUCUGUCAUCAUGAAGUGCUUUGAGAGGCUAGUUAAGGAUCAUAUCACCUCUAUCUUACCUGACACCCUAGACCCACUUCAAUUUGCAUACCGCCCCAAUACAUCCACAGACGAUGCAAUCGCAUACUGCCCUAUCCCAUCUGGAGAAGAGGAAUACCUAUGUAAGAAUGCUGUUCAUUGACUACAGCUCAGCCUUCAACACCAUAGUACCCUCCAAGCUCAUCAUUAAACUCGGGGCCCUGGGUCUGAACCCCGCUCUGUGCAACUGGGUCCUGGACUUUCUGACGGGCUGCCCCCAGGUGGUGAAAGUAGGAAACAACACCUCCACUUCGCUGAUCCUCAACACAGGGGCCCCACAAGGGUGCGUGCUCAGCCUUCUCCUGUACUCCCUGUUCACCCACAACUGCGUGGCCACGCCUCCAACUCAAUCAUCAAAUUUGCAGAAGACACCAAAGUAGUAGGCCUGACUACCAACAAUGAUGAGACAACCUACAGGGAGGAGGUGAGGGCCCUGGCGGAGUGGUGCCGGAAAAAUAACCUCUCCCUCAACAUCAAAAAAAUGAAGGAGCUGAUCGUGGACUUCAGGAGACAGAGGGAGCACGCUCCAUCCACAUUGAUGGGACUGCAGUGAAGAAGGUGAAAAGCUUCAAGUUCCUCGUCGUACACAUCACUGACGAUCUGAAAUGGUCCACCCACACAGACAGUGUGAUAAAGAAGGUGCAACAGCGCCUCUUCAACCUCAGGAGACUGAAGAAACUUGUCUUGGCCCCUAAGACCCUCACAAACUUUUACAGAUGCACAAAUGAGAGCAUCCUGUAGGGCUGUAUCACUGCCUGGUAGGGCAACUGCACCGCCCACAACCUCAGGACUCUCAAGAGGGUGGUGUGGUUUGCCCAACGUAUCACUGGGGGUACACUGCCUGCCCUCCAGGACACCUACAGCACCCGAUGUCACAGGAAGGUCAAAAAGAUAAUCAAGGACAUCAACCACCCGAGACAUGGCCUGUUCACCCGGCUAUUAUCCAGAAGGCUAGGUCAGUACAGGUGCAUUAAAACUGGGACCGAGAGGCUGAAAAACAGCUUCUAUCUCAAGGCCAUCAGACUGUUGAAUAGCCAUCACUAGCCGGCUUCCACCCGAUUACUCAACCCUGCACCUUAGAGGCUGCUGUCCUAUGUACAUAGACAUGGAAUCACUGGUCACUUUAAUAAUGGAACACUAAUCAAAUCAAAUUGUAUUAGUCACAUGCGCCUAAUCCAACAGGUGUAGACCUUACAGUGAAAUGCUUACUUACAAGCCCCUAACCAACAAUGUAGUUAAAAAAAAAGAAUAUGAAUAAGAAAUAAAAGUAACAAGUUGUUAAAGAGCAGCAGUAAUAUAACAAUAGGGAGACUAUAUACAGGGGGUACCGGUACAGAGUCAAUGUGCGGGGGCACCGGUUUAUUCGAGGUAAUUGAGGUAAAAUGUACAGACUGUCACGAUGUGACACUUUUGGGUGGAUAUCGUGGCUCCUCCCCUCUCUCUCUCCCACAUCAGGUUUUACAACAGUAAUACAUUCCUGGUAGAAACUCUCAGUAUGGAGGGAUGGAACCUAUAGAGAACAAAGACAUUCUUCUUGCCAAAACUCCUAAUCCCCAAAAUGGGAGAAUUAAACAAUAUUUAUAUUUUUUGAGAAUAUGGGAAUGGUCCGUGGACAAUUAAGGGACAGUCAAGUCGAGUAGCUUUCGUUUUGGGACAUCAUGAAAGACAGUAAGACAACAUAACUAUGUACAUUUCCCAGCUGUCAGGUUUACACCUGAAUGUUGCAUAAGAUGAAUGAUUAAGUAUAAUAAUACUUUUGAAAAGAUAACAAUAUGAUUUAGUCUUCUAAAUGAGAAUUGGUUGUUUUGGGGUAACUUAUGCAGUCAGUAGCCACGCCCAGGUUGGCACAAACAUGAUGAGACGGCCCCUUUUCUACUCAAGUAUAAAAGCCCCCGUGACGCAAUUCACACCAGACCACGCAAACCACGGUGUAAGCUAAGGUUGCAAAUGGUUGAAUUUAUAAGUCCAGAAAGAACAUGAGAGCUUGCUCCACACAUUUGAAAUGGUUGAAUUAAGAAGAUCAUAAAACAUGAAGCGGUAGCUACAUGUUAAAAUGGUUAAGAACUACAACUCUACCAAAGGACAAGACCAGAGAACGUGGAGAUCAUUCCCACGUUGAAAAAAAAAUCGACAAACUAAAGAACAAUUAUUUAGACUGCAGAUGUUUAAAUACUUCAGUCUGGUAAACGCAUCUGAUCCUAAGAACGUUUCCGAAUGGUACUCUGAAGUAUAACCUAAGACUUUGAUCUCUGGUGGACAAACCAGAGGCUAUUUGUCGACUGACUAUCCAGCAGAUGGACCGGCAAUCGCAGAGCGGGACAACAAAGGCAGACACUCGUAAAUAUGUAAAUAUGUAAAUUGAAAUUUAUUUUUGAAUGAGCGGUUGUUCAUGUUCAAAGUAUUAGCAAUUUCUAUGAGUGUAGUAAUCCUCUAUGAGUUUCCCGCUUUUGAGCAGUCCCCACCCACUUUCCUUUGUCUACCAAGCCGUCAUAUUGGUUUUGUCCGCUAGGGACUUUUUCUUUGUAUCAUGUAGAACCAAUGUAUGAACUAUUUGUGUGUGUGUGUUUAUGUACUUCUGUGAUUGAUUAAGUUAGUUAGUAAAUAAAUAAUUAAGCCAAUUUGUAUAAUCGCUGAUUCAUG
rnacentral:lncRNA from 1 species